AAUAGGAGAAUGACAAAUCAGAUUUUCUCCUUAUUUUCAACUUUUUUCUCCUGAAAAAAUUCAAAUCCAACUAAAAAAGCUGAAAAUAAAGAAGAAAAAUCUGAUUUGUCAUUAUCCUAUU
rfam:Gossypium hirsutum cultivar TM-1 chromosome 10, whole genome shotgun sequence